GGUGGCUUAGUGGUAGAGCACUUGCCUUGCAUGCAUGAAGCCCUGGGUUCGAUUCCCCAGCACCA
rnacentral:tRNA from 1 species